UUAGCAAGGUAAUAUUUCAACAAAGACAUGGACCCAUCUGCCCAGAUGGUGAGCCUGGAUAACCAGGGGAACAUGGUUUUCACAGUUGUAAAGCCAGUUAUGGGCAUAUUUCAGGUGUCUUCAGAGCAAACUGGCAGUGCUCCACAAGGAAGCAUGGGUCUACAGAGUUUAGCUGAAAGCACAUUAGUCCUCCCUCAGGCGCAAGGUCAGCCUCCACUAGACCAGAACCAGAUGGAAAUGAACACCAUACAGCCUCAUAUUCAGCCUCCGAUGCAGGUUUCUGCCCCAGUCCAGACUGAGGAUUUACCUGUGAAUCAGGAUCUCCCACAAAGCUCAAGCGAAAAUACAGAGUCCACUAGCCAGAUCGCAUUUGCUGAGGUUUCAUCACUCCUGGAUCCCAACAUGAAAGGAUCAAAAGCUCGGAAAUAUCUCAUCUCAUAUGAUGAAAUUAAAAGGCGUCUGCAGGCUCCAGAAAAGAUGUCCCUGCGGUCUUUGGCAGCGUACACUCGGGUCAGCAGAGGACCAGCCAGCAAGAAAACACUCCUGGAGUCGCUUAAUGUACUCGGCCUCACGCCAAGCACAACUACCUCUGUAUCCUCGUCCUUCUCCAAACUCACUGAAGGCGACACCAGAGCUCUGUGUGACGAUAUGAAGGAUUUUGCCCAUGACUACAUUGACUAUGGCAACAUGGCAAAGCAGCUUAUCCCAGAGACAAAUACAGUUCAACACUGGUCCAAAAUUAUUGAAACAAAGAACCAUCUUGAGGAUAUGAGAAAGUGUUUUAGGGACCCGGUCAACAGUGGUGCCUUCGACAACGUCACUCAUGGCCUCGGUCUUGGAAUGCUUGAUGUUGCACUGGACAUGAUUGUUAUGGUAAUUGAACAGCAGAUUCGCAUCCUGUCUGGUGUCGCAGCAUCUGACCCGGCCGACUCAGGUCCACAAAUGCGCCGUGUCCGCAGGCGCCACCGCAAAACUCGCUUGAUGGACAAUGAGAAGCUUCAUAAGGUGUCUGGAGGGGAAAAAGAACAAGGAAAGCUCAUUUCAAAAGCCAAAGGUCGAAUCAGAGCCAAGAAGAAGAUCAGACAGGAAACUGUAGCUUCUGGACCUGUGGAGACCCAGGCAGAGCCAUGUAAGCCAGAUGGUGUGGAGAGUAAUGUCCUCACCCUGGUCUCUGUAGGUUACGAGACUGUUUCCAGCGGCCUCGGUUCAGUUGGACCUGUUUGAUACUUGCUCACAUGAUAAGUAUAAAGACCCAUUCAAACUGAUUCUCAGCGAUCGGACAGAGGUCGGGGUAAAUUAAGCUCUCCACUGUAAUGAGCGCAAAAUCAUCACAACAUGUUACAUAUUGGUGUCAGGCUUUAAGGAGCUAUUCACUUUCUUCCAGAAAGUUGUAAUAUGUAGUCAGAGCCACAGCUGGUUAACCUACCUUAUCAGUAAGGCUGGAAAUACACACAGGCUUGAUGGCUUUUUUUAUAUAUAUUUUGUUUCAAAGGUGCAUAUUUAACAUGCCCAAAGUUUAGAAUAAAGAGGUCAGCAUAUUUACAAGUAAAGCUCAGGCUUCAGCCACUCUAAAGCACUGAAUAUUUUGCACCCACCUUCUGUUAAAACCUUGUGUUUGCAAAGAGCAGAAAAUCAAGACAAAGGCAGGAUAGCUGUGAAUUCUUCAAAGCUGUUGUAGUAGUCAUGAAAUAAGAAAUACUAUAGCUGAAAAUGGGCACAAUAGGAUUUAACAACCCUCUCUAUUAUUUGUUCAAUCCGUGCACAAAAACAAGUGUGACAAGACAAAGUUUUCAUGGCACUCUGCAAUAGUUUGUUUUUUGUUGUUGUUGUUUUAUUUUGUUUUUUUUAUCUUAUUAAAGCAAACUACAUGAAAUAUGGCUUUAACCUUAUGUUUUGUUUCAUUUGGAUGGACUUUUUGAAAACUGUUUCCACUUUCUGUGCUAAGUUAGGCAAUCUGGUGAAAUUGCUGCAUGUUUACUGUGUACCUGAUACAGCUGUGGUGUCAGUCAUCUCAUCUCAGCCUUUGCAAGAAAGCCAAUAAGUGCAUUUUCCAAAAUCUCUAGAUAUCUUUUUAAAUUGAUCAUUUGCUGCUUCAGUAACAGGUUUUGUUUCUUGGUAUCAGUUAGAAUCCAAUCAUACAUUAUUUUUUCAGUCAACAGAAGAGCUGGUACAUGGAUAAUAUCAAAUAUAGAUUAUAUUUUUUUGGCUUGUGGUACAUUGUCUCCUGUUUUAAUGUUGUAUUUAUUCCUUAGAUUUUCACAUCUGUACUAGAAUAAUGGAAAUAGAGGUUUUUACUUGAGUUGAGUAAAACAGGAUGAUCUAGUUUUAAGAAUUGUCUUCUGUUGUUCUUUUUGUUAUCUUAUAAACGGAGCAGGAGCUGACAGAGGCUUUAAAUACCCCUAUCAGCUGCAAUAUUAAAGUUCAUCUGGGAAACCUAGAGUGUUACCACCCCACCUGUUUAAACAGCCUUGCUGUCUCAACCCACCCCCUCACUGCUAUGGCAGUUGCAUUCGAUGAUGGGUAAGCAGGUUAAUGCCCACCACUGCUGGUGCUGCUCAGGAAAAUAUCAAAGAGCCAAAACAACCAACCCAUCCCAAUCUGAUCCAAUGAGAUUGAGGUGGCACCACCCUACCCUACAUCCCAAAAUACCUGCAACCAAUGGUGCCAGACACUAAUGGACACCCCACUGCUUGAGCUGAUUUGGUUGUACAUGGGGGGGAUAUAAAUCUAGUUUAAAAUAAUCAGUUCCCUGAUGAUAGGGAUGGAUCAGAUGGAAAUUAGCCUUUGGCUAUAAUCUGGCAUGUUUACAUUCAUGUAAUUUGUUUUUACAUUUAUGUUCAUUAGCAUGCACUGUCCUAAAUAAAUAAAUAAAAUAAAUAAAUAAAAUGAUAUAAUGUAAUAGAGAAGGAUUGGAGUGCCAGAGUUGGAUUAAAGAUUGAAAACAAAAUUGUAACCACCAGCUUAACAUUCUUGUAGGUCCCCAUUUUAAGGCUAUUUCAACUCUGACCUAUUUCGUGUCCCAUCCAGUGGUGUCUGGCACCGGGGGGCAGGGGAGGGUUCAGCCUGCAUAGAUGCAGUUUGUUCCACUCUUCACCUUGUUCAUUGAAAUCCAGAAAAGUAGUUUUUGCAAAUUUGCAGUCUGCAGCAACAUUUAGAAAAGCUGUACUAGCCAAAGUCAAACCCAUAUAAAUACUCAAACCUCUCAAAAGAAUAUUGUUUUAUAAGCAGAUGAAUAACUGCUUUUCAGUGCGUUUCACCUGUUGUUGUAAUAAACUCAUCAGAUUCAAUUCUAAUCCAAACUGAUACAACGGGGAAAAAUGACACCUAAUAAUAGAGUUGUAUACAAGAACAGAUGCCCAUCUGUCUGUGCUGUUUUGACUUAGAUUUUUAUAGAAGGUGAAAGGCAUUACGGGAGUAUAGAAAUACACUCAGCAGAGUCAGCCAAGUGCUAAUACCUUAACAGUGCACGCGCACACACAUCCACAAGUGAGUGGAAGAGAGAACAGCUUUAGUGAGGAUUUGCUCUGUAUUAACCCUGACAGGGAACACAGAGUCAGCUGGAGCACAAGGAAGCCAGAGUAGAUAGACCUGUAGGAAAAUAGAGGGAAAAAAGCAACAGUGCAGGGAGGUAUGAAAUAUGCUGUCGUCAAAAGGACGUGUAAGUUGAAAUAGGGGGUCCUCCAAGCAGUAGCUAAUGACUCGAACGUACGGCACUAAAAGAAAAAAAGACGACAGCUUUUAAGAAACAUGUCCAUCUAAGAUAGGUACGACUGGUCCAGAGACGGCAGCACGGAGCACAAUGGGGCACCCCAAUGUGCCCCUCUCACACAAACACUUGCAUUCCCAGAGGGACAAAAACAGAUCCAGUCGACUGCAACCUUACACACCAAAUG
ensembl:lncRNA